rnacentral:rRNA from 1 species
UACGUAGGGUGCAAGCGUUAAUCGGAAUUACUGGGCGUAAAGCGUGCGCAGGCGGCUUUGCAAGACAGAUGCGAAAUCCCCGGGCUCAACCUGGGAACUGCAUUUGUGACUGCAAGGCUAGAGUACGGUAGAGGGGGAUGGAAUUCCGCGUGUAGCAGUGAAAUGCGUAGAGAUGCGGCGGAACACCGAUGGCGAAGGCCGCCCCCUGGGCUGAGAUUGACGCUCAGGCACGAAAGCGUGGGGAGCAAACAGG